rnacentral:rRNA from 1 species
GACGUAGGGCGCGAGCGUUGUCCGGAUUUAUUGGGCGUAAAGAGCUCGUAGGCGGCUUGUCGCGUCGACUGUGAAAACCCGCGGCUCAACCGCGGGCCUGCAGCCGAUACGGGCAGACUAGAGUUCGGUAGGGGAGUCUGGAAUUCCUGGUGUAGCGGUGAAAUGCGCAGAUAUCAGGAGGAACACCGGUGGCGAAGGCGGGACUCUGGGCCGAUUCUGACACUGAGGAGCGAAAGCGUGGGGAGCGAACAGG